CCUACGGGAGGCAGCAGUGAGGAAUAUUGGUCAAUGGACGAGAGUCUGAACCAGCCAAGUAGCGUGAAGGAUGACUGCCCUAUGGGUUGUAAACUUCUUUUAUAUGGGAAUAAAAUGUUCCACGUGUGGGAUUUUGUAUGUACCAUAUGAAUAAGGAUCGGCUAACUCCGUGCCAGCAGCCGCGGUAAGACGGAGGAUCCGAGCGUUAUCCGGAUUUAUUGGGUUUAAAGGGAGCGUAGGUGGAUUGUUAAGUCAGUUGUGAAAGUUUGCGGCUCAACCGUAAAAUUGCAGUUGAAACUGGCAGUCUUGAGUACAGUAGAGGUGGGCGGAAUUCGUGGUGUAGCGGUGAAAUGCUUAGAUAUCACGAAGAACUCCGAUUGCGAAGGCAGUUCACUGGACUGCAACUGACACUGAGGCUCGAAAGUGUGGGUAUCAAACAGGAUUAGAUACCCGAGUAGUC
rnacentral:rRNA from 1 species